CCCUUAGAUGUUCUGGGCCGCACGCGCGCUACACUGGUACGUUCAACAAGUUUACAACCUUGAUCGAUAGGUCUGGGUAAUCUUUUUAAUGCGUACCGUGCUAGGGAUAGAUUAUUGCAAUUAUUAAUCUUGAACGAGGAAUUCCUAGUAAACGCAAGUCAUCAGCUUGCAUUGAUUACGUCCCUGCCCUUUGUACACACCGCCCGUCGCACCUACUGAUUGAAUGACUCGGUGAAAAUUGGGACUGUGAGAACAAUCGAUUCAGUUCGAAUGUACUCGUGGAAACUUUUUUUAACCUCGCCAUUUAGAAGAAGGUGAAGUCGUAACA
rnacentral:rRNA from 1 species